rnacentral:rRNA from 1 species
GAUGAACGCUGGCGGCGUGCCUAAUACAUGCAAGUCGAACGCUGGAAAUCUAGCUUGCUAGAUUGAAGGAGUGGCGAACGGGUGAGUAGUACAUAAGCAACCUACCCACGAAGACUGGGAUAAUCUCUGGAAACGGGGACUAAUACCGGAUAGGUAAUCGGAAGGCAUCUUCUGAUUAUUAAAGGUUAAAAACACUGGUGGAUGGGCUUAUGGCGCAUUAGUUAGUUGGUGAGGUAACGGCCCACCAAGACGAUGAUGCGUAGCCGGCCUGAGAGGGUGAACGGCCACAUUGGGACUGAGACACGGCCCAGACUCCUACGGGAGGCAGCAGUAGGGAAUUUUCGGCAAUGGGGGAAACCCUGACCGAGCAACGCCGCGUGAGUGAUGACGGCCUUCGGGUUGUAAAGCUCUGUUGUAAGGGAAGAACGGUAGAUAGAGAAUAUCUAAAUGACGGUACCUUACCAGAAAGCCACGGCUAACUACGUG